AACGCUGGCGGCGUGCCUAGCACAUGCAAGUCGAACGGAGAUAUUAAUGAAGCUUGCGAUUUAAUAUCUUAGUGGCGGACGGGUGAGUAACGCGUGGGUAAUCUGCCCAUAAGUGGGGAACAACAGUUGGAAACGACUGCUAAUACCGCAUACGCUGUCGCAAGACAGGAAAGGUGGCCUCUGAAUAUGCUGCCGCUUAUGGAUGAGCCCGCGUCUGAUUAGCUAGUUGGUGGGGUAAAGGCCUACCAAGGCGACGAUCAGUAGCCGGCCUGAGAGGGUGAACGGCCACACUGGGACUGAGACACGGCCCAGACUCCUACGGGAGGCAGCAGUGGGGAAUAUUGCGCAAUGGGGGAAACCCUGACGCAGCGACGCCGCGUGAGCGAUGAAGGCCUUAGGGUUGUAAAGCUCUGUUUUAAGGGACGAAUGUUACGGGGAGUAAUAUGCCCUGUAAAUGACGGUACCUUAAGAGGAAGCCCCGGCUAACUACGUGCCAGCAGCCGCGGUAAGACG
rnacentral:rRNA from 1 species